GUGUGCCAACAUUGCUUUAUUUGGAAGGUGAAUCCAUUGGCACCUGAAAGGCUGUAGGGGGAUAGAGCUGGUGUGACAGACAGGGCUGCAGAAAGCCAGGGGAAGGCACUUGUGGUGGCAGAAGCACCGAGGGCAUUUUGGACAGCCUGGGCCAAGGGCUGCACCAGAGUAAGGCAGAGGCAGGUGGUGUCAGGGACCAGCCUUGACACAGGGCACAGACUGCAUGUCCUACCCAAGGAAGGGGUACAUGGCCUGGGGCUUGGCAGGCCCCUGAGCAUGAUGGGGCAUGCACUGGGACAGCACAUCGUGAUGGAAGUGGUGACCCAGUACCAAUCCCAGACCCCUUCAAUCCCCCAGGGGAAUCAUGGCCACUGCUCUCUACCUCAAAAAAGGCACCAGGGAACCCCAGGCAACAGGCAGCUUCGGCCAGCUGCAGGGGACACCCAUCUCACUGAUUUAAGUCUACAUAGAGACUGGAGUAGACCCUCCGUUGAAUUGGGAGCAAUAGAGAGGACCUGCCUCCAGGCAGGGUGAGGAGGGCUUGUGGCAGGGCAGCCCUAGUGUGGUGCUGCUCAAAAAAAUCUGUCUCUGGCUCUGGCUGCCCAUUUCUCUGGUCAGCCCUUCAAGGCCUCGUCAGGGCUUGGCACCUGGUGGAUUCUGGAGGCUGAUCCAGGGCUGGGCUGGCUCCAGUGCCAGUGUCCUCUUCUGUUCUCCAGAUAGGCUGUACUCCCACAAUGCCUGGCCCCAGCUCCCCCAUGGCCAGAGUGCCAGCACAGCCUAGCACUGCCAUGCUGCGAUGCUCACCCUUCUCCCCCACCUCACCACAGUCUCCCGGCACUGCCCAGUCCCAGAGAGUCCAGAGAUGAAGAUUUUCCAGGAUGAUAAACCAAGUGCAGCAGAGACAGGCAGGGCUGCAGGCUGGUUUCCAGAACCAUCAGCAAGGCUGUUUGUGUCCCUUUUGGAGUAGCCUGGCCCCAGGGUUGGUUCAGUGGCUCUGGGUGGCUCAGAGCCACAAAGCUCUCUGCAGGGACAGCAGGAGGAGAGAACAAUCCCAUGACUGGCUCCCCUCAACCCCUGGGGCACCUGGCCCCAUCUCAGGACUGCACAAACUCCACAGCUGGAGGAAUUUAUCUCCUGCCCAGGGUAACAGAAGAGGCUACAGCUCCACUUGUCCUUCUCCUCCUUCCACAGCAAUGGAGGCCUUGCUGCCCUGCUCAAUCUUCAAACUGGACUGGGGUGAUGCUGGAUCUGGCUGUGCAGUACCUGGGUGUCUCCACACCCCUCAGGUGCAGGGCAGGGAGGCACUGAGCCCUUUGGGGCUCCAAUAAGAUAAAGGAUGUUUUCAGGCCAGACAGAAGGAGGGGCCCAAGCUGGGGAAGCCAAGUUCAGAGCCUCCCUUAGGGAAUUGUGGAGGCGCCAUGCAGCUGGAAUGGCAAGAUGGGGCUGCCAGCAGGUCAGGGGGGUUUAUGCCCAUCCAACUCCACUAGGCAAUGCUGCUCCCAGUGCAGCUCCCCCAGGCUAGUCCCCCCUCUACCCCAGGGAAUAGUCAGCACCCACCUGAGCAUGCAGCAUCUGCAAGACCAGGGGCAGGGGAUUUUGGCAUGAGUCCUAGGGGGGCUCCCAAAAAUCGGUAUCCUUCUUAGGGGCUCUCCAUUUGGGUCCUUCCACUUGCAGUAGCCUACGUCUGUCCAGGGCUGGGGGAAGGGCCUGUGCAGUGGCUGGGUGUCCACGCUGUCUCGGUGCGCUGCAGGGGAAGCCGUGCUUGGCGAAGGCCUUUGUCUGUCCAUCCGUCUGUGCAGGAGUCUCUGGAGGAAUUGCAGUGCAGUCAGCCAGGAGGGGAUGGGGCAGCAGGGUCAUUUCAUCCCAAAGACAGGCUGUGUUCUGUCUGCGGCUGAGAAGGGGAGCCAAGUGGCACGGGAUCUCAGAUGAUGUCUCGCUGGUCCUGGCAACGCCGUGACAGGCAAUAGAGCCCGGAGAAGAGGUACAGGAAGGCCGUGAUGCCCCCGCAGAUGGAGGCGCUCAGGUAGGCACUGUACAGACAGUGCUGGCUGUAGCCCGGCAGGUUGCAAAAGCUUCUCUGCUUGGCCUUGUGACCCAUGAUGCCAGUGGCAGCUGUGUAGAGCCCCACACCCAGUGCCAGGUCGUGCACCAGGUUGGUGAUGAGCCAGCGGGAGCCCAGCCAGGGCACCAGCUCCCAGCGCCCCAGCAGGCUCAGCCCGAAGAGGGCCAGGGUGAGCAGCCAGAUGAGGACGGCGGCAAACAGAGCGAAGUGGGCCGCCCCCUCGUACUUGUGAGCCGCUACCGUCACCCAGAAGGCAGCGCCCAGAGCCAGCUGCCCCAGGCGCAGCAGGCCCAGCGGGCUCCGCAGGUAGGCGCGAUGGAGGCUGAGAGAGCCGCGGGCCGGCGGCCCCGGCGGCGGCGGCACAGUCGGGGGAGCCGUGCGGGCCAUGGCGCGGCCCUGCCUACUCCGGCGCGGCUCGGGCGGGACUCAGAGCCCCGGCAGCGACUUCCUCCCUGACUACUGCCAAACAUCUGGCACUCAGCGCUCCUCCCCGCGC
rnacentral:lncRNA from 1 species